UCAAAACAGUAUACAGGAAAAGUACAAUGCA
rnacentral:piRNA from 1 species